rnacentral:RNase_P_RNA from 1 species
GAGGAAAGUCCGGGCUCCACAGAGCAGAAUGCCGGCUAACGGCCGGGCGCGGCAACGCGACGGAAAGUGGAACAGAAAGCAAUACCGCCGAUGAUUGCCUUCGGGCAAAACAGGUAAGGGUGAAAAGGUGCGGUAAGAGCGCACCGUGCAUUUGGUAACAAAGGCGCAGCAGGCUAAACCCCAUUCGGAGCAAGACCAAACAGAACGCGAUGACGCUGCUCGCCGAGCGUUCGGGUAGGUUGCUUGAGCACACCAGCAAUGAUGUGCCUAGAGGAAUGACUGUCCGCGACAGAACCCGGCUUA